UUUGUGAUCUGUGUCUUGUUAACCAUUUGGUUGUACUGAAAGACCCUCUAAGGAGCAGCACGUUCAGUUUUUCUGUCUGGUACUGGGCCUGGGCCUCUUUCAGGUGUUCAUUGACCGUGUGGCAGAGGGUCUGCGCCUCAAUCCAGUAGCUCUCCAGCUUCAACAUCCUCUCCUU